UGCAAGCAGAUGAGCAGGGGCUGCCUGAAAUUUGCUCAGCUAUGCUGCAGUGCACGUGGAGGGGGCUCACGUUUCACCAGUGCUUGUAGCAUGGCUCACUCCAGGGGGAGAGGUUCCUCCACUUGUGAUGGAGCCUGGCAGCAAUGUUAUUACUGUAGUGGUCUGGAUUUGCAGCUUCACAUUCUUGUUGUCUCUCUCCUAAGGUGUGCUCAGAAUUUUAUUUUUUUUGCGCCUAACUUAGCAGAAAAAUAAUCAUGAGAAUUUAUACCACUACAAUUUCUGUUCCCAGAAGAACUGUAGCAGAUGAAAGACGCUGGAGGAGGAGGAAGAUGGCAAGAAGCGUCGUUCACUGGAAUGCAUGUACUGGAACGCACGCUCACGUCUUCUGCUGGAGGGACCUCUGCCAAGGGAGAACAUCACUUCUGAGGAACUGCUGGUUCAAAUUGCCACUUAAUCUCUUCAAAUUGGCUUUCGUGUACACCCGUGGCACACGGACCUCAGCAGUCUGGUGCAGAGCUCUGUGCAGUGCAGCCUGAGGAGAUGCUCUAAAACCUCACCUUGGCUGCACUGAAAAGUGUGGCAAGAGAUGCAGAAUAAUGCCUGACACCUCGAAUGGCAUGCAUCGGGGCUAUUACAUGAUGAAUGGCUGUGUCUUGGGAAUUGGAAGUCAUGGGUGAUAGCUUUAUGGGAGCAGACAAGACUUCUGGAUGUAUAAAGAAAGAAGGACAUAACUCUGAAUUUAUACAAGCCAUAUUUAUUGUAAAACCCUAAUGAAGGUUAAUGCUUUGACCCCAAGGAAGGUGGUGUGCAUUUGCAAUGAAGCUCUGGGAUGCCUCCCUUGUUGAUGGCACACAGAAGCUUGGCAAAUUUGGACUGGGAGAUGGACAUUGUUAUAUGCCAGUGAGCAGCCUGGCUGCUGCCAUCACAGCGCUGGGACCUUGCGGAGUUCCCUGUGAAGGCUGUAUUUGUUUUCUCUUAUGACUUUGGUGUUGAUGAUGAACAAUGGCAUUCUACCAAGUGUGGCAGAUACCACCUGUGGAUGAGCUGCGUUUUGAAGAGGAAAACCCUCCCAAGCGUUGCUCUGUUCUGCAGUGAAGUUUCACUGAUCUGGAACUUCAGGUGCUUCGUCCCCUGGUUUGCUGAUUUGCUGCUACUUGCUGUUUCUGAUUUUCUUUCUACAACAAUGUAUUGGGAACACAGUAUAUGGCUUCUUGAAGAAGGGACAUUCACAGAAGAAGCCACAAGGAAAAUCCCAUCGUGAGCCCCAAAGACACCUUCAUCUCUGCGUCUAUGCAGCUCUAGCCUGUGGCUGCUCUGUGGCUGUCCUGAGCAUGCGAUGCUGAUUCAAAGCUCCGAAGAAGCUGCACCGACCGCCUGUCUUGGCAUGACUGUCUGCUGCUGAAUUUGCUGGAGAAAUUAGAACUUGUCUUGCAGAAGAUGGACUCACUGGUUUUAUUAAUAUUGCAAAAUAGCUAGCUUUGACAAGCAGCCAAGAGUGGAGCUAGUCCCUUUCCCAGCCACAGGUUGUCUCAUAGUGAACCCUUCUUUCACUUGGCAGUGCACUGCAAAUGUGAGAACCAUGCCUCCUCCUGCCAUAGCUCUCACGUUACUCUCAUCUCCACCACGCUGUCCAACUCAGCUUAGCUGAGCGUGGAAGCUGCCUCCUCACCCAAGUAAGCACUGCUUACCCAGGUGUGCCCGGCUGGAUGAGGGAGGGGGACGCCCAACAUCCUGAUGGCAGACAGAUCCCACAGCAAACUGUGUCUGUCAUAGGAGGUGCGAUGAGCCACUUAUGUUGGCCAGAUGUCUCACGGUUGGUUGAGAUGACCCUUCCCCUCUCUCUGAAGGGACACAACUUGGCUUUUCUACAGCUCCAGGUAGAGGAAAAGCACCACUGGCUGCAAGAACUGGGAAUGUGACUCAGCAUCACAGUGUACUGCCUGGGAGGCUGGACGUGUUUAGGAGCCCUGUGCAUGGCCAAGCAACUGGAUGCCAUUGACGUGGUGCUCGAGCCUUGAUCUGCUGUUCAAAGGGGAGAGACUUCUUAAGAAAAAGCCUGAACUAGCCAGUGUCACUAUGGAGAGGAGUAAGAUUAAACAACCCAAUUCCUUGUGCCCGCUGAGUAUGGCUGAGCAACACCUGUGUGUCCGUGGCCAGAAAUUUGCCCUGGGCACGUGAUUCCUUAGCACAAGAGCAGGAUGUAGGCUGCUGCUAAGGAGCAGGUCAGCACUUGAGAAGGAGUCACGUGCCUACUCUCACUGAAAGCUAAAUAUUUCUGUUGGUGACAAUCUAGCUUACCACCUUUUACAGCAGAAAACAGGAGAAAGGCUGUAAAUCCAACGUAACCUCACCUGGCCUCUCAGGAGCCAGCACGGUGGUGGUAGGACUCAGGCUGGGGAACAUCCUGGGUGCCGUUCGGGUUGUGAGUGGGUUGGCAUCCUUGGCACGAGCCCAUUCAAAAGCAGCAGGCACAGCCCUGGCCCCAGCAGUGAAAUGUCCUGGCCAGAUGUGUGCUUGAGGAGCACCUCGCCUGGGUGUUUUCCAAGGUACACCAAGAUGCAUGCUGCGCAGCGAGAGUCAGCGCCUCUCCCUCCAUCUUCUGCUUUCUCCUCAGAGAGGAUUGGAGUUUAUUUAAUCUCAGAUUUCUUGCUGAAAAACGCUCAGUGAGCAUGAAAUGCCUUUGAACUCUGGGAGCAUUGCUACUGCCUGUAAUAAGGCUGGGUAGAGGGAGACAGCCGCUUCCGUUGCUAUUCCAAACACAUCUGCACAACGCACUUCAGGAAGCACUGAAACGUCCCCGCAGCCCCGGCCCCUUCUGUAGGUGCGGGAGGAUGAAGGGCACUGCGUGAGACCCGCACACCAUCGGCACACAGCACGCAACGGGGGCAAAUAGCUGAGCUUCGUAUGAAAGUAUUUCAGCCUAGACAACAAUCAGCUGCAAGGAACUUGGAAUACGUCGGAAAGCGGAUAGCCAGGAAACCCUUUCCAUGAAGUGCAGAGAGGAUUUAGUUGCUGAGAGCUGCAAAGAUGCAUACAUUUUCCUAAAAAAACAUUCGCGGUGCCAACAUGAAGAUUCAGUGCAUUGUCAAAACAAGCCAAGAUUCUUAUUAAAACCAAUUGCUUUGGUUUGUUAGGCUACUUUACUAUGGUGUCUCUAAGCCAACAUAUGUAUUUGGGUUUAGAAGAGCUGUUGCAGCCAAACCUUAGGUGGCUGGAAAUGAAUGCGAGCUGAGCAGAUGCAGGGUAUCAUUUGCCCACUACUGUCCUUUUGAGGCUGCUUGAUGGUAUGUGGUAUGUCAGAUGUUGGCUUUCUCCUCUCUGAGAGCAGAUGGCUUGGUGAGGAAGCUGUGCAAUGCAUCUUUGUAUGAGGUAGGCAAGGCUGCGAGAACCCUAGGUGCAUCUCAUUUGCACAAACAGGAAUGUAACAGAAGAAAAUAAGAGAAAACAUAUAUGAUGUUUCUUGUAACGUGGAUUUCACAUGGCUGAAUGCUGUGAAUAAGAGAAUUUUGAAGAGAGAGGAGAUAUUUUUCAUUAGGCUGUUACGAUCCCCAAAAAGCUCGCAGAAGAAGACCUUGUGUGUCUAAAAGUUAGUCUGCUUUUUGGGAGGGCUAUAUUGGUCCAGCAAAAGACAUUAUCCCUCUCCUAUAUCCUUUAUCUCUUUUGCCCAUCAUGGCUACAGCAAUCCUAUGCUGGAAUAAGAAACCAAGGGGGUGUGCUUCUGCAGCGUGGAUCCUCUCUUCGUGGCAUCAGAGCAGAAGGAGAGUCCUUCCACCUGUGCCAAUGAUGACAGAUGGGGUAUGUGAAAUUGGCACUGGGGGUGAUGUUCUAACACAAGUAUUCAAUUAUUCUCUAGGCAAACCUAAAAAAAAAAAAAAAAACAACCUGAAGAUUUUUUGAAUGUACAUUUGAAGCCAGAAUUACAUUUCUACUUUAUAAUAUAUAUGGUAUUGGAAGAUUUGACUGUUUUAGCAGUGUGAGGUUAAAAAAAGAAACAGUUAAGUCUUCGAGGGGGUGUGCUAGAGAAGGCAAUUCUAUCUACUGCAGUGCUUCAAAGAUCAGGAAGCUGAGAUACCAGAAAUUUUCUUUUCCUAUUCCUUUAUUGAGCACCCCGGCUCACCCAUGAACACUGUGCUUUGUGACCCCAGUAACAUCCCAUAGUGAUAACGUAUUUCCUAAAAGGGCAUUUAAGAGAAAUGCAGGACGAUGCUGUAAGGUGUUGCUAACGGAAUAUCAUCUGCACCAGGCACUGGGAAGCGCUGCUGUGCUGACCCGCAGCCCUGGCUGUUGGGAUGGCUGGGUGCUGGCACUGAGCUGCAGAGGGGCACGCUGCUGGAGGAGGGAGGACGUGCCCGAGAUUCCCAUGCUCUGAGCAAGAGCUCAGGCUCAGCCUGCCUCCAGCGGGCUGCACUCGCACAUCUGAGCCUCAAGGCAAACUCCCAGCCCAGCUAUCAGACUCUUGGCAGCAAUUUCCACACGGGUUUGUUGUAUUUGGACUCGAGAUUCCCCCUUGACCCCAAAAGUCACACUAAAACGCUAAAAGUAUUUUCUUUACUUGCUAAAGAAAACACAGAGGACUUUAUUUAGUUAUUCAGAACUCCUCAGCCAUUCUUCGAUCACUUCAUGAUUUCCAGAGAUUGUAUCUGUGCUGUUGUCUGCCGGCUCGGGUCACUCCGAGCAGCUCGGAGGGGAAGGAAAGCUGCUACAUUUCAUUGUCCUCAAAAGAGGGGAGAAAAAUCCGACUCGCGUUCCCAAUCCAAACACCGCCGCUGCCUCGUGCAUUCUUGACAGCUAGCGAGGCUUCAUUGAGAACCGUUUGUAGCCUUUAGCUCCCUUCUAACAAGUUGGCCAUUGCCAUCGAGGAGAUUUUUUCUCAACUGAUUUAUGAGCUUUAAUUUAUAUGCGAGCCUGGAAUACUUGCUUUGGGAAGAGUUCUGCCACAAGCCAAGCUUGCACGGAGAUGCACAGCAAUUUGCAUGGUAUGUUCUGUACGCUCACCGUCCAGCCUGCAGCAGGCCAAAAAACCCCAGGUGAGGAGCACACGUGGUCGGAGGUGGUGCUGAGUGCUCCCUUCCCAACUGGUCUGCUGACUUAGGUUGGGAAGGUGAAUUUGUCAGGUGGAUUUAAGGGGUUUGGAAAGCCUCCACGUGACCCAGCAGACACAUUUUGGAAGUGUGAAAGCACUGCUAAAGCCUGGGCUCCCGUGUAGCCUGUGCACGGUCACAUGGCGGGGCUGGGAAAUUGUUUAACGGUGUCUCAACGGGUGGUAAUGGGAUUUUCCAAUCCUGAGCUGCCUCGGUGGAGUCCGGGUGUAGGUAGGAUUGUGCUGACUCCACCGUUUCCUUUGGAAGGGAUGGAGAAUGCUUGGCACUUCUUGCAUUGGGUCAGGAGCUCCUGACUUCUGGCUCCUUGGCCCAGACAUGUGAUGGGAGGUGUGUGCCCAAGCGUGGCUGCAGCCCUGUGUGUCCCUGAUGGGAGCACGCAAACUCAGCUGCUGCGUCACAGCCCAGGGCUGGUCUCCGGCUGAAGAACAGCGUGUUUUGUAGGUGCUUUAUUAAUUUCAUUGCUUGCAGCGCAGGAGGAACAUGCUUCUCACCUCUCCUCUGUAUCCAUUGGUUUUCUAUGACCACUUGUUGCAGUGUGACACUCCUACAAAUGGGCAAAUUGCCAGGAAAUCUGAAGACCUGUGUUAAAAUCACUGGAGUUUGGUGGAGCAAGGAACACGCUCGUUAUAUCCAGCCCUUCCUGCACUUUCAAAUACGAGUGGUAAUGCCCAGGAGAAGUGCCUGAUGGGUAGUGCUGCCCCAAGAGGAGAGGCAUUUCAUGCUGGGUCUAGAGGAGUAGGAGCUUCAGCUCUGUUGGGGUGGCUGAUACAUCCAUGGGCAGCCCUGAUGGGCAGCUGAUGGGAAAGAACUGGAAGGUUUCAGUUUCCAAGCAGAAGACGGUUUCUGCAGCAAGGCCUUUAGUGAACACCUUGAUUCUGCAAGGCAAGCAGGGUAGGUGGGGAGGUGUGCUUGCAAUGCACUGCUGCUUGGCCUUGAGCAGGUGGCUGGAGAAGUGGCAGUCCCACUAGCAUGGGGAGCUGUGGUUGGGGAAUUGGCAGCCCCGUGAGCACACAGAGCUUGGCGGUCACCCUCGCAGAGCUGCAAGCCAGCAGCAGCAGCGUGUGUACAGAGUUGCGGUUGUCUAAUCUUGACUGUUAUCAUUCAUCUACAUAACCUCAAGAUGCUUUAUCUAGCACACGGAGGUUGAGGUCUUGUUGCUGACUGCUGUGCUGGAAUAACAGACGGUGCUCUGAUAUGUGCUAUGCUGUCAGCAAAGCCCAGAUGGAUGCAAGUGGAUGAAGACAGCUCUCAUCCUCACAGACAGUUAAAUGCAAGCAACAUGUCCUUCUGUGCUUGGUUCUUUGCAGCAGGUUUGUUCAGCUCAGUGCCUCUGGUCAAUAGGUGCACCACCUCCACCACUUGCUGACAGAAUUAACAUCUAAUCAUUAAUUGCAUCUGAAGUUUGGAAGGACCCUACUACACUUGAGGAUCUCCUGUCAUUGGAGAGGUGGCUUUCUGACUGCAGGGUUCAUCAGAGCCCACUGAGUUACCCUGGCUAUGGGAGGACUCACUGAAGGACAGCUCUUCCAUGGAAAUCACCAUGAAGUCCAUGGGGCAGCCUAGAGGGGCACUCUCAGGUCCUGAGGAUGUGUGCAGACCUGAAAGGGAUCGCGUGAUGGGCAUCCCAGGAGGCUGGGAGUGUGAGUUUGGAUCCAAGCACCAGGGCUUACUCACACCCUGAUGAUAAGAAGGCCUGGGGGAGAGGCACGGGGUUAUUUAUCCAUUUGUUUGGCAGUAGACAAGGCAAUAAAAGGUGCUCUGCAAAAUGCUCAGCAUAAGGAAACCUGAGUCAGAGACAGCCCCAGCCUCCUUAGCUGUUAUCUGUGCUGCUCUAAGCAACAUAAUUCAUCUGACUUACUGAGAUCUGCUCUCUUGGACGUGACCUCCCUCCUGGGAUGCGCUCCACCCGCCAGGACCUCUCUGACCUCAUCUCCCCUUGCCCAUCCCCAUCUGCAGGCAGCUCCUGGAGGUUCUGCUCCUGCCAGGUCUUCCAUCUAUGCCUGGGACCCCCACUGCAGCCACCUCCCACCUUCAGCUCUUCUUGAGGGUUUCCUAGUCCUCCCUCUGAAAACAGGCUCUGUGGUUUGGGAGUUGCCAAACAAACAGAACCCAAGGGAAGGCUGUGGUUUCUGCUGCUCUUUCACUUACCUAGAGCAAUAAACCACCAUUGGUGCACAGAUGUCACUACUACACAUAGCACAGGACGAAGGCAGCAGGAAGGGUUUGUGGAAGGCCAGGUGUGUGGGCACACGACCCCUGAGAGGGUCUGAGCAGAAGCUGGGACACUCUCCCCAGUGCCAUCCCCACCAACUAUGUCUAAGCAACAGCGAUACAUGAUCUAUAUUAUUAGUGAAGAGAACAGGGCACAGAAGCGGUCAUUAGAGCAGCUUGUUCAUCAUACAAGGAAGAUCACUAUAAGAAAGAUACUGAGGCUCUGGAGUGUGUUCAGGGAAGGGCGAUAGAGCUGGGAAGGGUCUGGAGCAGAAGUCUGAUGGGGAGCAGCUGAGGGAACUGGGAUGGUUCAGUCUGGAGAAGAGGAUCAGGUGUGACCUUAUUGCUCUCUACAACCACCUGAAAGGAGAUUGUUGUGAAGUGGGGGUUGCCCUCUGCUCCCAGGUAGCAGCAACAGGACAAGAGGUGAUGGCCUUAAAUUGCACCAGGGAAGGUUCAGGUUGGACAUUAGGAAAAACUUAUUCGUAGAAAGAGUGGUCAUAGAGUGGCACAAGCUGUCCAGGGAGGUGAUGGAGUCACAGCCUCUGGAUGUAUUCAUGAACUGUGAAGAUGUGGCACUGAGGGAAGCGGUUGGUGGGCAUGGUGGGGAUGCUUUGAUGGUUGGAUCAGAUAAUCUUAGAUAUCUUUUAAUGAUUCUAUGAUUCUAUGAUCUCUUGCUAUUCUUUGCAAGUUCUACAGCACUGAGGUCAGUGUCUAGCAGGGAUGGGUCCAGGUAAUGCAGUGACUGUACCUAUGGUCAGAACAUUAAACUGGUGCUCUUGUGCCUUUUCCCAGAGCUGAGUGGUUUUACGUGAUGGAAAAGUGUAAGAAAACACCGCUGUGCUAAGGCACAAGCCUUCCCACCACAAUGGGCUGCAGGAGUAAAUGAGACAGUUUUCAGAAAGAAGUAAAAUCUUACAUAUUUGUCCUGUAGGGCUUGGUGGGUGUUUUCCAUCUGCAUCAGCUUGUCUGGUAAAACCCACUACCUUUUUCUCCACAAAAUGUCUUUUCCAGACAGAUAUGCUGUACAACUCCCACAGCUCCUAUGAAUUAUGAGACUAAUGGAGCAAUCCCCAGCAUUUGAUAUGUGGGAAAGCAGCAAGGUAUUGCAACAUCUCCCACUAUAUUCUUUGCAUUCUGGGGAUGAACACUGCUAUAAAACCUAUCUAUCCUUCUCCUUACAUACAUACGUGCUCCUUCUUUGCAAGGCCUGCAGUCACAGAGCUGCAUGUCCCAGCCUUCCUUGCAUUUGGCAGCACGAGGAACAAAACCGACAGUCACUUCCAUUUGAGAACACAUCGUUGGUCCUUUCACAUCCCCUUUGUAUCAGGGAUUUCCACGUGCUCCCAUGGGAGCUGGACUGUGCAGCAGCUGAAGCAGCUCUGUGUACCAGAGUUUAAUGACAGUGAGUGUUUACAGUGCAAUUCACAGUGGAAGUCCAAAAGAAAGGAAUUAGGGAGACACAGAGGAGUGAGGUCAGGGUUUUUUUGUUCCUGAUGGGCACAAGUCCACAAGGUUAGCUAGAAUUAUUUUUAAAAUAUUAAUCACUUUCAUUGAGUUGGGGAAAAUACAGGCCAGGCUUGUCCCUGGGUUGAAUUUUGCCUUUUGAAACUUAAAUAACAAAAAUAAUGUCAUGUGAGUUUACCAGCAUUCAAAACCUCAUCAGACUCUGAGUCGUGUUGGGUUUUCCUGGUACCUGUGAAGAUGAAAUUUAUUCAUGAGGUCAGAAUCAAUUAAUUUUCCACAUAACAGGACCAUACUUGAGCAUCUGCACCAUACUGGAAUGUCCUUCACGUUUUGUGGUUUUGAGGAAUUUGAAUACCUGCUUAAAGAAAAUGUAUGUUUCCCAAGAUGCAUUAUUAUCACGUUUUUAACCUUUAGAUACACUGAGCUGUUUCAGAGCCCGCAGCUGUUGUGGUUGUAUGGCCACAACCGUGUAAGUACAAUGGACUGGAAAACAUAAAAGGAAACAUUUUGUGCUUCAGAAAGUUGAAAAAUGAAAUGAAAAUGCAAAGAGAACUGAGAAAGAAAAGGGUUAACCGUUUAAAGGGUUGAGUUAAACAAAGCAUAUCUGUGCAAGAGCCUCCCCAAGGAAGCGGCUGAGACCACAUCUCUUGGAUCAUUUAAACCUGGACUGUACAAAGCAAUAGAGAAAAUUCUGCAGGGAACAAUCCUUCACUGGCAGGUGGGAUGGACUCAAUGACCUAAUAAGUGUUUUCCAUCUCUAAGUCUAUGGGAUGAGUCUAUAACUAGUGCGCUACAGCUUUGCCCAGAGUUCCCAUGUGUUGGCUAUAAGCAGAUCCAAGCUGCACCCAACUGUGUGUUGUUUGAGUUAACUGUUUACGUGGUUCUUUUGCCACCACCUGGUUUCUUUUUCAGCAGAUUCUCUACACAAAC
ensembl:lncRNA